AUUGAACGCUGGCGGCAUGCCUUACACAUGCAAGUCGAACGGUAACAGGUCUUCGGAUGCUGACGAGUGGCGAACGGGUGAGUAAUACAUCGGAACGUGCCUAGUAGUGGGGGAUAACUACUCGAAAGAGUGGCUAAUACCGCAUGAGAUCUACGGAUGAAAGCAGGGGAUCGCAAGACCUUGUGCUACUAGAGCGGCCGAUGGCAGAUUAGGUAGUUGGUGGGAUAAAAGCUUACCAAGCCGACGAUCGGUAGCUGGUCUUAGAGGACGAUCAGCCACACUGGGACUGAGACACGGCCCAGACUCCUACGGGAGGCAGCAGUGUGGAAUUUUGGACAAUGGGCGAAAGCCUGAUCCAGCAAUGCCGCGUGCAGGAUGAAGGCCUUCGGGUUGUAAACUGCUUUUGUACGGAACGAAAAGCUCUGGGUUAAUACCCUGGGGUCAUGACGGUACCGUAAGAAUAAGCACCGGCUAACUACGUGCCAGCCGCCGCAGUAACAC
rnacentral:rRNA from 1 species